ACUCAAAUGAAUAGACGGGGACCCGCACAACCGGUGGAGCGUGUGGUUCAAUUUGAUACGAAGCAAAAAACCUUACCAGGGUUUGACAUUAUACCGUUUUAUGCCUAUGGAAACACUGGCAGAUCCGUAAGGAUGGUACAACAGGUGCUGCAUGGCUGUCGUCAGCUCGUGCCGUGAGGUGUUCCCUUAAGUGGGGAAACGAGCGCAACCCGCGUGAAAUGUUACAUAUUCAUUUCAGACGGUCCCAGUUUUACUGGGAAGGAAGGAGCGGAAGACGUCAAGUCAGCAUGGUCCUUACACCCUGGGAUACACACACCCUACAAUGGCGAAAAACAACGAGCCGCAAGUACGCAAGUGCAAGCAAAUCUCUGAAAUUUCGCCUCAGUUCAGAUUGGGGUCUGCAACCCGACCCCAUGAAGUCGGAAUCGGUAGUAAUCGCGGAUCAGCAGGCCGCGGUGAAUACGUUCUCGGGUCUUGUACACACCGCCCGU
rnacentral:rRNA from 1 species